AAAGCAGUUAACAGUCAGACUGCAUCUCUGGCCUGUCAAGAUGGAUCUCCAUAACAGCUCCUGUUUCUGCUGAUGAAGAGGCUGCUCAGUGGGGCAUGUGCACUGGAAACAUGAGGAAAGUUCAUCAGUGACAAAGAGAGCUGAGCCUCAUCCAUUUCACCCAACAGUACUGUUUAUGGCACAGAUGAUGAAUGAGACUUGCUGACAAUGAUGACCUGGGGGGGCCUUUCGCAGAACACGAUGAAGUACAAUUAGUGCUCGGGGCUCUUGAAGAGUGCAAUACAAUGCAAUAAAUACUUCCCAUGAAGUAUUAAAACACA